CUGAAGGAUUAUAUCGAAGAGUCAAAUGAUAGAGUAACGUCUUGAAGGGCUCUCUCUUAGUCGAUUAGCACUGAAAUUAGUAAGAGUCGCAGUGUUAUAAGCUCGGCAAAAAGGCGUGAGAAUUUACCGUAACAGUGAUUAUGGCUGACGAAAUCCUACCCGCGGGGGUGGUGUAAAUCAUGAUGCUUGAGUUGAUUGA
rnacentral:ncRNA from 1 species